GAUGAACGCUGGCGGCGUGCCUAAUACAUGCAAGUCGAGCGAACAGACGAGGAGCUUGCUCCUCUGACGUUAGCGGCGGACGGGUGAGUAACACGUGGAUAACCUACCUAUAAGACUGGGAUAACUUCGGGAAACCGGAGCUAAUACCGGAUAAUAUAUUGAACCGCAUGGUUCAAUAGUGAAAGACGGUUUUGCUGUCACUUAUAGAUGGAUCCGCGCCGCAUUAGCUAGUUGGUAAGGUAACGGCUUACCAAGGCAACGAUGCGUAGCCGACCUGAGAGGUGGAUCGGCCACACUGGAACUGGAACACGGUCCAGACUACUACGGGAGGCAGCAGUAGGGAAUCUUCCGCAAUGGGCGAAAGCUUGACGGAGCAACGCCGCGUGAGUGAUGGAGGUCUUCGGAUCGUAAAACUCUGUUAUUAGGGAAGAACAAAUGUGUAAGUAACUAUGCACGUCUUGACGGUACCUAAUCAGAAAGCCACGGCUAACUACGUG
rnacentral:rRNA from 1 species